AUUGAACGCUGGCGGCAGGCUUAACACAUGCAAGUCUAGCGAGCGGCGGACGGGUGAGUAAUGUCUGGGAAACUGCCUGAUGGAGGGGGAUAACUACUGGAAACGGUAGCUAAUACCGCAUAUCCUCAGAUGUGCCCAGAUGGGAUUAGCUAGUAGGUGGGGUAAUGGCUCACCUAGGCGACGAUCCCUAGCUGGUCUGAGAGGAUGACCAGCCACACGGGAACGGGGACAGGGUCCAGACGCCUAAGGGAGGCAGCAGUGGGGAAUAUUGCACAAUGGGCGCAAGCCUGAUGAAGCCAUGCCGCGUGUGUGAAGAAGGCCUUCGGGGUGUAAAGCACUUUCAGCGAGGAGGCGUUACUCGCAGAAGAAGCACCGGCUAACUCCGUGCCAGCAGCCGCGGUAAUUC
rnacentral:rRNA from 1 species